CAUUAUUUUUGGUUUUUGCACCAUAACUUUAGUAUAAGUAAAUAGAAAUCUAUGAAAUUUAAACACAAGGUUUAUGACCAUAAAAGGAAGGUUGGGUUUGAUUUUGGGAGUUUUGGUCCUAACAGUUUAGGAAUAAGGGGCCCAAAGGGUCCAAAAUUGAACUUUGUGUGAUUUCAUCAAAAAAUUGAAUAAUUGGGGUUCUUUGAUAUGCCGAAUCUAACUAUGUAUGUAGAUUCUUAAUUUUUUGUCCCGUUUUCAAAUUGGUCUACAUUAAGGUCCAAAGGGUCCAAAAUUAAACUUAGUUUGAUUUUAACAAAAAUUGAAUCCUUGGUGUUCUUUGAUAUGCUGAAUUUAAAAAUGUACUUAGAUUUUUAAUUAUUGGCCUAGUUUUCAAGUUGGUCCAAAU
rnacentral:lncRNA from 1 species